rnacentral:rRNA from 1 species
GAUAGUUGAUCCUGGCUCAGGAUGAACGCUAGCGGCAGGCUUAACACAUGCAAGUCGAGGGGUAGAGAGUGCUGCACUCUGAGACCGGGCGCACGGGUGCGUAACGCGUAUGCAAUCUACCUUUUACAGAGGGAUAGCCCAGAGAAAUUUGGAUUAAUACCUCAUAGUAUUAUUAAUUGGCAUCAAUUGAUAAUUAAAGCUGAGGCGGUAAAAGAUGAGCAUGCGUUCUAUUAGCUAGAUGGAGUGGUAACGGCACCCCAUGGCAACGAUAGAUAGGGGCCCUGAGAGGGGGAUCCCCCACACUGGUACUGAGACACGGACCAGACUCCUACGGGAGGCAGCAGUGAGGAAUAUUGGACAAUGGGCGAGAGCCUGAUCCAGCCAUGCCGCGUGCAGGAAGACGGUCCUAUGGAUUGUAAACUGCUUUUAUACGGGAAGAAACACCCCCUCGUGAGGGGGCUUGACGGUACCGUAAGAAUAAGGAUCGGCUAACUCCGUGCCAGCAGCCGCGGUAAUACGGAGGAUCCAAGCGUUAUCCGGAAUCAUUGGGUUUAAAGGGUCCGUAGGUGGAUAAUUAAGUCAGAGGUGAAAUCCUGCAGCUCAACUGUAGAAUUGCCUUUGAUACUGGUUAUCUUGAAUUAUUAUGAAGUAGUUAGAAUAUGUAGUGUAGCGGUGAAAUGCAUAGAUAUUACAUAGAAUACCAAUUGCGAAGGCAGAUCACUAAUAAUUGAUUGACACUGAUGGACGAAAGCGUGGGGAGCGAACAGGAUUAGAUACCCUGGUAGUCCACGCCGUAAACGAUGGAUACUAGCUGUUCGGAGCAAUCUGAGUGGCUAAGCGAAAGUGAUAAGUUCCCA